AUAACACCUCAAUAAUUAUCCUAUGGACUGGCGUGGCCGUAAGACUGGGUUGACCUUAGAUGGGGUUGGCCUUAAGACAGAAGUGGCCUUAAGAAGGGGGUGAACUGGCCUAAAACAUUACCUUCUUGGGUGAAACUUAAGGCCUUGAGAAGAA